UACGGGGGGGGCAAGCGUUGUUCGGAAUUACUGGGCGUAAAGGGCUCGUAGGCGGCCAACUAAGUCAGACGUGAAAUCCCUCGGCUUAACUGGGGAACUGCGUCUGAUACUGGAUGGCUUGAGUUUGGGAGAGGGAUGCGGAAUUCCAGGUGUAGCGGUGAAAUGCGUAGAUAUCUGGAGGAACACCGGUGGCGAAGGCGGCAUCCUGGACCAACACUGACGCUGAGGAGCGAAAGCCAGGGGAGCAAACGGG
rnacentral:rRNA from 1 species